GCAGUAUUCAGGGAGUAGACAAGAGUGAAGCAGCCCCGACAGGGAGUUAACCUCCUAAUUGGGAAAAUAGAGCAGAGAGAUUCAUGCUGCUGAAGAAGCACUGUGACUAUGCACUUUCACUCCUCCAACUCCCGAGGAAAAUGAACACCACUGGCUAGUUAGGAGUAUUUUGAGAAUUCACUUUAAAGUGCUGAGAAAGCACUGUUAUACAU
rnacentral:lncRNA from 1 species